rnacentral:lncRNA from 1 species
GUGAUUCUAGUUUCAUGUCACUAGCACAGCAGGCAUUGACUAUGCAGAUAUUAAGAAAUACUUAAUAUAAAAUGUAGUCAGUAUGUGAAGUGUGAUCAGAAUCAGAAGAAAAUAGUAAAUGUUGAGCCAGAUUUAGGAAGACACAGUAUAAACAGUGGACCAUAAAUGGCUACAGUCCAUAUCAAAUAAAGUUAGUAGGGAUGUGCUUUGGAGAGAAUGAAGUGAAUUCAGUAUGAUGGAGCACAGACUAUAUGGUCAAAUCAGCCUAGAUUUAAACCGGGCUCCUAUUCCCUAUCAUCUGCAUUAUCUUGGGUUUGUGAGUCAACUUUAUGGGUCUAUUGGGAGCAGCAGUUCUUCCUGGCCCCUGGAUGUACUGAUUCCGGUGCAGUCCUCUGACCAUAUUGGGAAGGAUAUGUAAAAUGAUACGAGUUUCAGGGAAUAAGAAUGGGGGUGAGAGGAAUCACUGAGGAUGCCCAAGGACAAAGCAGCCGGAACAAGGAGCUGCUUUGCUUUAAUCGUGUGUUGAGGAAAACAAUCAGACAUCACAAGCGGGAACAAGAAUGGAAGAACAGAGUAAGGACAGAGUGAGAAAACAGCCAUCUGGAAGCUAUGAAGAGAACCCUCACCAGAACCCCAACAUGCUGGCACCCUGAUCUUGGACUUUCAGCUGCCAGAAGUGUGAGAAAAUAAAUUUCUGUUGUUUAAGCCACCCAGUCUAUGCAAUAUUGUUAUGAUCCGAGA